GACGAACGCUGGCGGCGUGCUUAACACAUGCAAGUCGAACGGAAAGGCCCUGCUUUUGUGGGGUGCUCGAGUGGCGAACGGGUGAGUAACACGUGAGUAACCUGCCCUUGACUUUGGGAUAACUUCAGGAAACUGGGGCUAAUACCGGAUAGGAGCUCCUGCUGCAUGGUGGGGGUUGGAAAGUUUCGGCGGUUGGGGAUGGACUCGCGGCUUAUCAGCUUGUUGGUGGGGUAGUGGCUUACCAAGGCUUUGACGGGUAGCCGGCCUGAGAGGGUGACCGGCCACAAUGGGACUGAGAUAGGGCCCAGACUCCUACGGGGGGCAGCAGUGGGGAAUAUUGCACAAUGGGCGGAAGCCUGAUGCAGCAACGCCGCGUGCGGGAUGACGGCCUUCGGGUUGUAAACCGCUUUCGCCUGUGACGAAGCGUGAGUGACGGUAAUGGGUAAAGAAGCACCGGCUAACUACGUG
rnacentral:rRNA from 1 species